rnacentral:lncRNA from 1 species
UCCUUGAUUGAGCAUUACUUGUUGAGUUAUUAUUCAUUGAUGAAUCAGUUUAUACAAUUUACUGUGAUAGCUAUCAAAGAAGCUAUAGUUUGGUUUUAUUUUUGUCUUCACUGGCACUGGGAGGAAGAUAGGAAUUCUGGCAAAGAUGGCUAAAAAAAUUAUAUAACAUUCCAACAGGUACUAAGAAAACAAUUCUCUGAACAAUUUACAUUAUCCUGAACAGAAUUAUUAAAUAAAAUGAAAAGGAAAGGUGAAAGUAAACAAACAGAUCUGUUAAGCUCCUUAUUUGUUCACAUAUUAAAACUAUCCCCAACAGCUGUUUACCCAAUUUAAAUUAAACCAUUUAAAUCACGUGAAUAAAAAAAUAUAUAUAUUUGGAUUCAUUUUUUCAUGAGCGCUCCCCAAAUAUUAUAUAUGACAUAUGCACAUAGAGACAUACAACACAAAACACAAGUGUGCACACAUAACAUACAAUACAUAAGACAAUAGUAAAGGCCUUGUAGUUUUACACAGGUGAAAUCUUCAUUGCAAUGUUUAAAAAAUCCACAGUCAAAAAAUAAAACUGAUCAGAAAAACAUUAACCUAGGUCUGUAUGAGCUCAAAAAACAAAAUACAACUUUAUGAUGUGAGAAAGGGCAAUAAUAGAAUAGAUAUUGAAAAAGACAUGCUGGUAACCACCUGGAUUUGACUCUUUUUUGGAUAUCCCAUCCUUUUCCCUGUAACUUGCAUAAUGGGUCUGAAGGUGUUUCCACAAGCAAGCCCCAAGCUUUUUUACAUUUGAAAUAGGCUUUAAUGGUGUUCAUUAUUCAUUAGCCUCCAGGUGUGGAAGGACCACUAUUGCAGAUGUAACAAUAGCCAAGCUGGAACUCAGG